rnacentral:rRNA from 1 species
AACGAACGCUGGCGGCAUGCCUAACACAUGCAAGUCGAACGAGACCUUCGGGUCUAGUGGCGCACGGGUGCGUAACGCGUGGGAAUCUGCCCUUGGGUUCGGAAUAACAGUUGGAAACGACUGCUAAUACCGGAUGAUGACGUAAGUCCAAAGAUUUAUCGCCCAAGGAUGAGCCCGCGUAGGAUUAGCUAGUUGGUGAGGUAAAGGCUCACCAAGGCGACGAUCCUUAGCUGGUCUGAGAGGAUGAUCAGCCACACUGGGACUGAGACACGGCCCAGACUCCUACGGGAGGCAGCAGUGGGGAAUAUUGGACACUGGGCGAAAGCCUGAUCCAGCAAUGCCGCGUGAGUGAUGAAGGCCUUAGGGUUGUAAAGCUCUUUUACCCGGGAUGAUAAUGACAGUACCGGGAGAAUAAGCUCCGGCUAACUCCGUG